rnacentral:rRNA from 1 species
AUACGUAGGUGGCAAGCGUUAUCCGGAAUUAUUGGGCGUAAAGAGUGAGCAGGCGGUUAAUUAAGUCUGAGGUUAAAGCGUGGGGCUCAACCCCAUAAAGCCUUGGAAACUGAUUGACUAGAGUACGGGAGAAGUGAAGGGAACUCCAUGUGUAGCGGUGAAAUGUGUAGAUAUAUGGAAGAACACCAGUGGCGAAGGCGCUUCACUAGCCCGAAACUGACGCUCAGUCACGAAAGCGUGGGUAGCAAAUAGGAUUAGAUACCCUAGUAGUCCACGCUGUAAACGAUGACAACUAAAUAUUGCCGCGAGGCAGUGUUGAAGCUAACGCAUUAAGUUGUCCGCCUGGGGAGUACGGUCGCAAGACUGAAACUUAAAGGAAUUGACGGGG